AAGUAACCAUGUGGCCAUUCAAUGGUUUGAAAACGCUCCCAUGCUUCUGAAAUGGUUUCUCUCUUCUGCUGUUGGAAACUGAUAAUAUUUCCUCUCAAGGC
rnacentral:snoRNA from 1 species